GGUCCAGCCCAGGUAAUUUAUUCCCUACCAAUUGUUUUUUUACGGUGGGCUUUAGCAAUUUAGGAGCGGACCCCACUCCCCGCAAUUUCUGAAACUAGUGGGAGCGGAAGCGGCGAGCGGUUCGGAGGUGAGCGGCGGUAGGUUUCGGCGGCGAUCCGACGGCAGCUGCGGGUGGAUUUGGGUGUGUGCGACUCUGGGGGUGUCCCCUUUGGCUGGCUGCAGCGUCGAGGCGAGCAGCGUUUCAAGAGGCCUCGUCGGCCGGCGGCAGUGCCACGACCCGCCUCCACCCUCCGCUCCCUUCGUUGCGCCGGCGAUGGCCCGGCUUGCUUUUCUAUUCCCCGCCCCCGAGCUCCUUCCAUAUCCUGUCAUCAUCACACCGGCGACGGAACCCAUCCUUCUUCCUUUUUUGUUGCGCACAGCAGCAGGAGGUCUCUGCGACGGUCGCGGCCCCCUUCCUACGACCAGCGAAAGCAGACCCCGCGUAAGAUGCGCCGUGCGCGGUUGCAGCAGCAACAUCUAUUCCACGCCCCUACUUCAACCAGCUGGACGAGGCUCCAUGGCCUUCGUGUCCAGCUUCUACUCUCUGGACAGGGUGUUACUAUGGUAGAGAAAAGGAGAGCUGAGAUCAAGGUGCCAUUUUGAAGCGAUGCAAACCUUGCAUGUAUGCGCAAUUUCAGGUCACAAUACUUUGAUAGUGAGGUAAAGCUACCUAUCGCCAACUUUUUGUGUUCAGAUCUGAGAGAAAUAACCAAGAGAAAGGAAGAAGGCAAGGUAUGUGCCCACUAAACUCCUAAGGAGGUAGGGCUGUUGUUGGGAGCAUUAGGCCACAGAAGCAAUGUCCAUAUUUAUGCUGCUUGUAGCGAGGCGAAGAAGACACGUUACAAGCCCUCAAAGCGCUCUUUCCAUAUUUCCAUACAAAAGGAUCAUUGUCAAGCAAAGAUGAGUUGACUCAAUUUUUGGCACAUUCAUUCUCAUGACUUCAAUUGAUUUGAUUAUCUGCGGUGGAAUUGAUUAUGACAAUAAUGGCAACAUGGUCAGGAUACUUGCUAUGCUCUGCUGCUUCUGUUGUUUCGUUGCACAUCCUUGUUAGCUAUAUCUCUUGGUUCAUUGUGAAUUGUAACACUACUUUUCUCAUGAGAUAUAUUGGUCACAAUAAAAUUUUAAAUAACUCUACACCUUAUUUAUAAAUUCUCAUCGCAGGUGCGAGUAGUCCAGAAAGGAUCUAUUUGAGAUUGCAUGGAAGUCAUGCCAGAAAGAACUGAAUUCUAUGCCAACCCUGCUGUAUGUGUAUGUGAAACGACUAAAGAUGACCCCUCUGCUGCAGGAGCGAAGAAUUCCGAAGAUGAUCCCACCAGGACAGAAGAGGUGAUUGAUAUUGGGGCUGCCGAUGAUUCUUUUGUCAGAUGGAAGGUUUCUGAGCUAGAGGAGAUCCUGAUUAGUUGAGUUAUUUUGCAGCUCAAAGAAAUUAGUUAAGUUAUUUGCAUACCAGUGGUGUAUGUUGUAUACUAAAAAUUCAGAGAAUUUCCGAUUUUAUUUGGAUGGAUUUUGGUGUAUGCAAGAACUUUACUUCUUAAUAUAGCGUACCGCAUCUUAUUUUGGCC